UACGAAGGGGGCUAGCGUUGCUCGGAAUCACUGGGCGUAAAGGGUGCGUAGGCGGGUCUUUUAAGUCAGGGGUGAAAUCCUGGAGCUCAACUCCAGAACUGCCUUUGAUACUGGGAAUCUCGAGUCCGGGAGAGGUGAGUGGAACUGCGAGUGUAGAGGUGAAAUUCGUAGAUAUUCGCAAGAACACCAGUGGCGAAGGCGGCUCACUGGCCCGGUACUGACGCUGAGGUGCGAAAGCGUGGGGAGCAAACAGG
rnacentral:rRNA from 1 species